AUGUUUAGGCCAUAAACACCUAGGUAGGCAAACCUUAGGUCUUAUAUUUUAUUUUAUUCGAGAUAAGAGGUCGUUCCCUUUAGGUCUUAUAUUUUAUUUUAUUCGAGAUAAGAGGUCGUUCCCUUUAGUUUAUACUCGAGGAAUGCCCCCAUAGAUUGUGUAUAUAUUUUUAUCAGGGGAAUGCCCCAAAGCGAAUGUAAAAGGAAGCUGAGGCAUCAUCGAGGGAGCAUUAGCCUAGCGUAGUGUAUAACUUUUGGUACUUAUUAUUUUUAUUUUUAUUUUUCUUAGGUGGGGACAACCUCGAGCCUCUUGUGUGUUUAUUUUUCUUUCGUGUAUUUUUUGUCUUAGUUUGAGUAUCCUUUAAAGUCAACUAGAUCAAGUAUGCAACCAUACUAGUUACGGGCCUCGGGGAAUGCCUAACACUUUCUUCCAGAGUUAAAUGAAUCCCCUUUCUUGGAAUCUUUGGUGCUGUCCGUUUUAGAAUCAAAAUGUGUUUUUUGAAGGAAAAUUAUUACUUUAAAAAUAGUGACCUUACACACCGAAAUCAAAUGUCGGGCGGCGAUUUUGAAAAAUCCUUCGAAACACAAUCUUUUGUCACUUUCUAAAUGAUAAUCCUUUUGAGCUUUAAAAUCACUUUAUAUAUUUUAAUGAGGGUUAGUUAAGGUAAAAAGGGGUGUGGCA
rnacentral:lncRNA from 1 species